UACGGGGGGAGCAAGCGUUGUUCGGAUUUACUGGGCGUAAAGGGCGCGUAGGCGGCGUGGUAAGUCACUUGUGAAAUCUCCGAGCUUAACUCGGAACGGUCAAGUGAUACUGCUGUGCUAGAGUGCGGAAGGGGCAACUGGAAUUCUCGGUGUAGCGGUGAAAUGCGUAGAUAUCGAGAGGAACACCUGCGGCGAAGGCGGGUUGCUGGGCCGACACUGACGCUGAGGCGCGAAAGCUAGGGGAGCGAACGGG
rnacentral:rRNA from 1 species